AAAAUACUCCCUCUGUCCCAAAAUUCUUGUCUUAGAUUUGUCUAGAUACGGAUGUAUCUAAUACUAAAAUGUGACUUGAUAUAUCCGUAUUUAGACAAAUCUAAGACAAGAAUUUUGGGACGGAGGGAGUAGAUA
rnacentral:pre_miRNA from 1 species